GUUUAUAUAGUUUAAAAAAACAUUACAUUUUCAUUGUAAAAUUAGAAAAACCUUUCUUAUAAAUA
rnacentral:tRNA from 1 species